UAGGGCCGCGGUAACUCUGACCGUGCUAAGGUAGCAUAAUCAAUCGCCAUGUAAUUUAUGGCUAGAAUGAAUGGCUUUACAAGUCCUCCUCUGUCUCAACUUUACCCCUACUGAAAUUAAAUAUGUUGUGAAGAUGCAACUUACUCUUGGAAGGACGAGAAGACCCCGUUGAGCUUAACUCCUGUUCCCCCACCUUUAAACUUAAACUCUAGGGAACAGUAGGUACUUGGAGGAAAAGGAGUUUGGUUGGGGCGACCACCUAAAUAGAAGCAACUUAGGUAAACCAAGGUUAACAAUCAAUAUAGUAAGCCUAACUAAUAGACUGAUAAGUUAGUUAGAUAGUAGUCAUAGCUAAGUUAUAGUGACCCUCCAUCAUAAGGAGAAAUUAGAUAAAAGUUACCACGGGGAUAACAGGGUA
rnacentral:rRNA from 1 species